ACCCCCUGGUAAUGGGCAAAGAGACACUUUGUUGUUGUUGGUAGUCUUACAUCAGUCAGAGGCAGAACAGAUGGCAGGCCUUUAUUCCUCCUAGCUUGAUGCCUGGCUUGGUGGCAAAGCUGUUUUAUGCCUAGGACACAUAA